rnacentral:rRNA from 1 species
GGAAUUGACGGGGCCGCACAAGCGGUGGAGCAUGUGGUUAAUUCGACGCAACGCGAAGAACCUUACCUGGGUUUGACAUCCCGAGAAUCCUGAUGAAGUCGGGAGUGCCCUUCGGGGAACUCGGUGACCGGUGCUGCAUGGCUGUCGUCAGCUCGUGCCGUGAGGUGUCGGGUUAAGUCCCAUAACGAGCGCAACCCUUAUCGUUAGUUGCCAUCUGGUAAUGCAGGGGACUCUAGCGAAACUGCCACCGUAAGGUGAGAGGAAGGUGGGAUGACGUCAAAUCAGCACGGCCCUUAUGUCCAGGGCUACACACGUGUUACAAUGGUCGGUACAGAGGGCAGCUACCUGGUGACAGGAUGCUAAUCUCGAAAACCGGUCUCAGUUCGGAUCGAAGUCUGCAACUCGACUUCGUGAAGCUGGAUUCGCUAGUAAUCGCGCAUCAGCUAUGGCGCGGUCGAAUACGUUCCCGGGCCUU